rnacentral:rRNA from 1 species
CUAUGUGUUGUUGGGUAGGGGAGCGUUCUGUAAGCCGUUGAAGGUGUACUGUGAGGUAUGCUGGAGGUAUCAGAAGUGCGAAUGCUGACAUAAGUAACGAUAAUGCGGGUGAAAAACCCGCACGCCGGAAGACCAAGGGUUCCUGUCCAACGUUAAUCGGGGCAGGGUGAGUCGACCCCUAAGGCGAGGCCGAAAGGCGUAGUCGAUGGGAAACAGGUUAAUAUUCCUGUACUUGGUGUUACUGCGAAGGGGGGACGGAGAAGGCUAUGUUAGCCGGGCGACGGUUGUCCCGGUUUAAGCAUGUAGGCGGAGGUUCCAGGUAAAUCCGGUACCUUAUUAACGCUGAGGUGUGAUGACGAGGCACUACGGUGCUGAAGUAACAAAUGCCCUGCUUCCAGGAAAAGCCUCUAAGCAUCAGGUAACACGAAAUCGUACCCCAAACCGACACAGGUGGUCAGGUAGAGAAUACCAAGGCGCUUGAGAGAACUCGGGUGAAGGAACUAGGCAAAAUGGUGCCGUAACUUCGGGAGAAGGCACGCUGAUAUGUAGGUGAAGUGGUUUA